AGACGUCUACAUUAGAUACCCGCGUAGUCCCAGCCGUAAACUAUGCGCGUUAGGUGUAUCGGUGACCACGAGUUACCGAGGUGCCGAAGGGAAACCGUGAAACGUGCCGCCUGGGAAGUACGGUCGCAAGGCUGAAACUUAAAGGAAUUGGCGGGGGAGCACCACAACAGGUGGAGCCUGCGGUUUAAUUGGACUCAACGCCGGGAAGCUCACCGGAUAGGACAGCAGAAUGAUUGCCGGGCUGAAGACCCUGCAUGACUAGCUG
rnacentral:rRNA from 1 species